rnacentral:lncRNA from 1 species
CAAAUAUUUUUCUCUGUAGAAUUAAAGGAAUAAAUAUUGAUAAAAAGCCAUUAUUUUCUCAGAGCUCAAAAAGUUUUUAGCAAAUGGUUUGUUUAACAUUAGGCACUUCUGGGAAAUAAGGGAGUAAUAUAGUCUUAUUGCAGAUGGACACUGUGCAUUUCACCGGGUUUGGAUUAGUUUUGAUGUCCUUGAGAUGCUGGGUUAUAAAUGUUAUUGCUAUUUUGAGAGGGUGAGCAUGUUUUAUAUCUCUUAAUUUUUGUUCCUUAUUUUUAAAUCUGGUUAUUGCACACCUCUAUUAUGUUGCAUAGGCUUUUUUGUUUGUUAGUUUGUUUGUGUGUUUUACUAUCUUGAUACGAUGUAUUUUUCAUGUUAAAUUAGGUCAGUAUUUGAUAGUGGAAGGAUAAGAUUUCUGUCAGGCAUUUGCCUUAUACAUUGUUGGAAACAAAAGAGAAAUGGCUAGAAUGUGCUUAAUCCAGGACCAGAGACAGUGGCUGAAAGGUGCAGAGAGACCUUGUUCCCCAUGGUAUUUUCAGUAUCAAAGAAGACUGACCAGUGACUGGUGUGCCACAGGGACUGAAGUCAUCUUGUGCCCGCUGGGAAUGACAACGCAGCUGAGUGUCUCACUGAUUUCUGUGUUCACCAGCAAGAGUGUGAAAGCAUAUGCCACAACUUGUAACAGUCUCACAGGUCCUUCAGUUUGUGUUCCUGCGGUAUUUUGACUGUAAUAGCAGAAAGGCUGAGGGAGCAUUUACUUUCAGUCCGUCUACUGUUGUCCUAUCUGUUCUGUCUUGUGCAAAGUGCAAAAGUGCAAUGUUUUGUUUGAAGAUUUAAGCUAAGGCUUUACUUUUUUUCCCCCAUGUUUGAAAAUUCUACCCGUUUUGAAUAAUGUGUCUUUAACAGCAAUUAAUAAAUGAACAAGAAUCUCCUAUUUCCUUCAACAAAUGGUUUCAGAUGAAUUUGGGUAAAAUGAGAUCAUGACUAUAAGCAGCGUAAUGUUUCUAGUUUUGUUAAUACGCCGAGUAACAUGUCAAAACAAGAAAUCAAAUGUGAUUUUGACAAUUCCUACCAAACACACACAUACACAUAAAAGCAGUGUUCCACACAACAUAGUAAGAAUUUUGAUAUGAUCUUGUCCCUCUAGACUGAAGUCACUUAUGAAGUUUCCAAGUAAAUUUAAUACACUAUAAAUGUAAUUGAUUGCUGAUGCGACAAUCCAGCUCGCUGCUACAAUGUUUAAUAGCUGGAGAAUCCAUUUAGAAUAUAGUACAGAUCUUGAGCUUAAGGUGCUAGAGCAUUUACAAGAGGUCUAAUUUUAAUUCUGAGUUUUGACAUGAAUUUGGGAUAAAUCACCCUCUCUGUGCUUCCUUAUGUAAACUGUAAGUUCUGUCUCUUUCCCUACCUGGUAAGCAUAAAUAUGGAUUUGAAUGAUAUUCCUGUUAAUGCCAUUGUUACCCAUCAGGUCCUAAAUGUGGUUUUCAUUAUAUUUUCAGAAAAACAGGCAAAUGCUACAUCCAGCUUGUAUGUUUUUUUUCAAGAUUGUAGCCAAUAGAGAAUAUUCCCAACUUUAUCUCCCAUCUCACAUAUCUUUCCGUUCCAGAUUCUGGUCAUUGUAGUUCUGAGAACAAGUCAGAAGCUUUUGGUACUGCUAGUUCCACACUUUUGAUGCAGCGUCUCAUUAGUAUUUCACUCCUUCAGUAAUAAUGUAUCCUUACGUUUAAAAUGUUCUUUUGCUUGUACCGCUACAUACCGGAGUCUAAUGAUUUUAGCUUUUGUCCUUUUCCUCUGAAAUGAGUGAAUGUCAAAUGCUUUCUGUGACAAUUUAUGUCAAACUUGUGCCUUUUUUUUUUUCCCCCAUUAGAUAAAUCCAUCCCACUUAUCACUAUCUAUUUUUAAAAUAAGAAAAAGAAAAAAAAAAAAAGAGAGAGAGAGAAAGCACACAUGUAGUGUGAUGCAAGUGCAAAAAAGCAUGCAAAGACAAUGCCAGUGUGACAGCUAAUUAAAACCAGGCACUUUAAUGCUGAGAAACAAACAGAAAUCUUUCAACAUACUGAAAACUAAGGUGUUGAGGUGGCAAAACAGAAAUGCAGAGGGAUUUUUCAAGGGACAACCUGAAAGAAGAUUUAUGGAGUACAAAGGAAUUUGCAUUAUUAUGGCUCCCAACAGACAAGUCAAUGUUGCUUUGGUACUCUGAGACUCAUUAUAGCUGCAAUGCAAUUAUGAGCGACUUUUCAGCUUACAGUAUUACAUACCAACAAAACGGAGUAUUUUUGAUCAGUGAGAUCUCCUAAAUUCCUUUGCAGAUGGUCCUUUGACCUCAUCAGCUGGGUGAGUUAUUUAAACUAUUGUUCCACCUCAUGAGACAUCUGUGGUAUUAUUCAGUUUUGUAUAUAUAGAGAAUGAACAGUAAAAUCUGCAUUUUUAUUUAAGGGUUAUUUUUGGCCCUAAUAAAAAUGUUAAUAGCUGAGCAAAGCACAGUGCCGGGAAGAAACUGUCUAUUUAGAUCACUUACUUGCUUAGAUCUGGAUGCAGCUUUAACUAUAUAUUUUUAAGCUAAAGCCUUCAUGUACAGCUAGUCAUCCUUCCUUCUAUACCAGGAUAUCUUGUAAUAAACAUACUUUUCAAAGCCCUGCUGUAUAGAAUGGAGUAAUCUCUAGAGUUGUUUCACUUAAAUGAAAAGAUCUGUUUUAAAUAUUAAGUUCUUAUUUUAUUAUAAUCUUUUCUACACUUUCGCUUCACCGUUGCAUGCAUGCAUGUGCCUGUACUGGGCUCCUGUUUCGCUGAAGUCUAGGUACAUACAUAGUGAGAGUACAGUGAAGGAGAUGGCUAUUAUGUGCUACUGCUCAUCCCUGAGAACAUCCCUGGGAAGGCAAAGGGGAAAAUCUAACUGUUGUCUUCACCCAGUGGAUGAUUGCAGAGAAAGCUGUCACACUCUACUUUUGCACCAGAAGGGCUAGAGGCAUUGGCCAUGAGUUGCAGCCAGAAAUGCUUCAACUAGAUAGGGGAAAGAAUUCAUCACAAUGAGAGUAGGGAUUUGUGGCACGGACACUGAUGCUCAGAGAGGUGGUGAAGCCUCCAAUCCUGGAGGUAGUCAAAAUCCAUCUGGAAAGAAUAGUGAGUAAAAUGUCUCUGGCUUUUAAAUUACCCCUGUUUUCAGAAGAGAAUUUGAUCAGGUGACCCCAGAAAGCUUUUCAACUGAAAAUAUUCUGUGAUUCUGUGAUAUGUGGAUGCACAUAUUAGUGACGAGGUACAUAUUGGCUUGUGAUUUGUAAUUGGUGCAGACUUGCAUAGUGUUAUACAUACACAGCCUAAACAAUUUGGAAGAAGUAACAUUUCCCUCAGGAAAAAGUAAAAGUAACAUCAUACAAGAAACUGAAGAAAUGUUUCAAAGUGGUAGCAAGAUGUCAUUUGUUUGGCAGAUAGAGAUAACAACAGUUAGGCCUUGUGGGAAUAGAUUCCCUUUCCCCCUCCUCCUGCUCUGUUUUGCUUUUAGAGCAUGCUUUUGGCAAUCGAAAAUGUCAUUCUAUGCAUCAUGUAACACUUUGGUUACAGUUCCUAAAAUAGGAUUCAGAGGAGAGUGCAGUCAACAGUUGAAACCUACUACUGAACAUGGUGAGCAGACAUAAAAGACUUGCACUGAAUAAGAUGAAGCCAUUGGUGUUUCAUUUACAGAGUGUGUUGGCAGGAGUUGUGAUCGCUGACAUUUCAGGGGCAGUUCCUGAGAAGUGCAGAACUGAGUUGUCUUGCUCUGUUAUUACCACAUCAACAUUGACACAGUUUGUUUGUGCAAAUGUGUUGUCAAAAUGAAAGCAUUUGUUUUAAAUCAGUCCCAUUUUAUUUCAAAAGUGAAAGAUUUUGGCAUGUAUUUUGCAAAGCCUUAGGAGAUAAUAUCUGUGAGGCAAAGCAGCAGAAAAAAAGGGAGUGUAGUGUCACAGAUACGAAGAAGCUGUUUGUACAAUACAUACAAAUGCCUGGGAAUUGAUGGAGACUCUUGCCAAUAUAUUCCUGACCACCUAAACCUCAUGUGAUUUUAGAAAUCAAGUGUGUCACAAUCUAGAAUGUGGCCUGUGUUCAUUACAGACCUUUAUUUGUCCAGUUUUACAGUAAAAUAAGGUUUUUGUAUGAGUAUCGUGCUCUUUGGGGGCUUUUGAGAGACAUGGAUAUUGAGAUGUAGUAAAUGGUGGUUUGGGAAGUCUAGUUAGGUAUAUAUGAGCUUUCUCUGGAUAUUUGCGGAGGAAUGUAGCAAUCUCUGAUAUGUGGUGGGAAUGAAACAAAAUCUCUCAAGUGAGGCUGGACAAGCUAUAUGCAGCAUCAGCCUGAAUCCUACAACAUUUCAACAAACGCAUGAUUGAGCUACUUGAAAAAAUGUGGAAUUUCCUAUGGAAUUGUCCCACUGGUUUAUGAGCAUUCAGGCAUUGGAACCUGUAUGUGAAAUGUUAGGAGCAAUCCUUACCAUCACAUGUGCAAAGAAUGGGUGUUAAGACUAUGAGGUUAAAUGCAGAUCUUGUCCAGGAUAUUCCACCUUACAUUAGGGAAUUUCAAGCAACCUACAUGAUUUUAGGUCAGAAUUAAAGCAUGGAAGCUUCCUUAAUAUGCUGUGAUAAUCCUAAAACAUAUCCUAAUGUGUUUUUUUAAUUCACUGAAGUAAAACUUGAAAAUUAAACGUUAACUGGUGUCUUUAUAAAAGAGUGCUUUAGCUGUGCUUUCUCAACAGUCUUUUUAUUCAGCCUCAAAGAUUUUUUUAAAUGAGAUCAUCUCUUUUUUUCCUGUGCUGUUUAGUUGAAGAGCAUGCUAUGUAUAGACCUGUUCCCAUGUUUGUGCAGAAAUUCACUUGACAUAGAGAUGAUCUUGUAGAACAGUAUGUCUAGCUUCCAUGCUUUCUUUGUAGAUUGGGAUCAAUACUAAUGGAGCACAAGCACUGAAGAGUAGCACAGCAAAGAGAAAUCCCAGAUUUUAUUUUCAUAAAAAUAACCCAAAUAUCUGUUCAACGCGUAUAAAGACUUUUAACCAUUUUGAAAUAUAAGGCAUGACAUGUUGUUUUAACUUACAUACAACAAACACCACAUUUCUAAAGUUGCUAUUUACUUCUUUUAAAAGAUGAAACUGAUGAUAGCUAAAAUGAAAUGAAGCAAGUUUUAUGCAUGUUGCAUUUUAACAAGUCUGCUGUCUCAUUGGAAUGCACUGCCUUCUUGUGCUACAUUAUAUUUUUGGAAUUUAAUAAGGCGCCUGUCAUAUCUGCCUCAAGGCUAAAGAAUAUCAUGAGGGAGAAAUCCAAAGUACUGUCAUGUUUGACUGACAGGGGGCCAAUUUUAAUUUUUUUAUGGGAGGUGGCUGAUAUUAACAGGCUGUAGUGCUGAAGAUGCAUUGCUCUACCAUCUGCUUUAAACACCCUGUGUUGAUGAGCCAGUAAUGACGUUGCUCUGUGACAUUUAUCAGGUGAAUUUGGCUCUGACACUUAGUGGAGCAUUUUCAUUAAAAAAUUAAUUCUGUGCAUUUUACAGUGAAGCCCAUUGUGAUGAUAGAUUCUGGUACAGUGCCACGUAUCUCCAGAAGCUGUUAUAAUUACCUGAGAAACUUGGGAAAGCAAUAAACUACUACUUUCUAUUUCUUGUGUGUACUCCCUGAGCAUACAAUUAACACACUGACUCACUUAGCUUAAGUCUCUGAAGAUCUGUGUCUAUUUGAUGAUUACUAGCUCUUCAAAGUAAUAAGCAAGCACAACUCAGUGGCUAGAUGAAAGUGGGAUAAGAAGCCUUUGUGAGGUACAGGCUAGUGGUGGUCUAUAAAUGCUCAUUAGAAAAGUGAGUAAAAUAAAAUAAUGGGGAAAUGCUGUGGCUUCAGUGAGCAUUUAAAGAAUAUAUAUCCCAGAAGGAGAUCUACUCAAAUAUUCCCUUGACCACUUAGGUCCAAAGGGGAGAAAAAAUCCUGAAGAUUCUGUUUACCACCAAGUCAGGAUUUAGAGCCCUGGACAUCAUCUUAUCUGGCAAACUGGACACUCUAUGAAUGCUUGGUACUGAUGUAAUUUAGAUGUCUUCUAUUUCAAUAUUUGUUAUAAGUUUCAUUCAUCUUGUUAAUGUUAUUUCUCAUUAGCUUGCCACCAGUGAAAAAAAAAAAACAAGAUCUUGUCUAAGAAAUGAACACCAAUUCCUUAAGAGGCAUAAUUGCUAAAUUAAGUUGAACAAUUUAUUAAUCUUUUUCCUGUUCUUAGAUGUGCCAGAUCUGCAUGUAUCCUUCUCUGGUACAGAAUGACUUUCAGGUGACUGCGGAGAAUAAGUAGUAUUAGCAGAGUUCCCCAGACCCCUGUGAGUGCAGCUGGUGGAUGAUGGCACUUACACUGACGGUCUUGGUAGAAAGAGUAAAGGCUUAAUAAAACAUAGUAAGUAAAGUUAUGGUUCAGUGUUCAUUAAUACUCCCCUCAAUUAAACUAGAUUAUUUUGCAGUGCCUAUUUGAUUUGAAUCAGGGCUGAGCAUAAAUUCUACUGAGUUUAAUAUAUCACAUGAUAAGGUGUUUGAGCCAAGUCUAUGCAGUUAACUGAAAGAGAUGAUACUUUCUCCAAUGUAUACUUAAGGAGAUAUACACAGAGCAUUUUGGGUACAAAAUGAAGUACACUGAGUCCAAACUCAACAUACUGCAAAAUAUGACCAUAUCACUUCUAAAGACUGAUGAUAUGAUGUCUAAAUAAAGCAGCAGAAGGAAUAACUAUGCUCGUUUUGUGGAUUGAGAAACACAUCAGAAACAUUAUAUAACAUUAUGCAGCUGAUCAUCAAAAUACUUAAGAAAAACAGUUUAAUGUGAAUCAAGUGAGUUCUCCAUUGAGAUCUCUGGAGAUGAUUUGAUUGUCAAUUAAAUCUAACAGAUAAUUUUGGAUGAAUAAUAUUCUCUUUGAAGUAUUACAACAGGUUUUUUUUUGUUUGUUUGUUUGUUUUUUUAACUCACCCCUUGGGUUUUUUUAAAUUAAAAAGUAGUUUUCAGACUGCUUUAUCACCCUGAUGGAAGAAGAGGAUACAUUCUUUGACAUUUUCCUUCCUUCUCUGAGACAGGGAUAUUUCUUCACUGUCUGAUUUAUUAAUAGAAAUAGUUACAGGUGUACUUGGUUCAGCAAAUAACUUGUUCUAGGAUUGCCUGUAGUCUACACCUGGCCUGGGAGGCGUGUACUAGUAAGAAAUGGAAAAAAAACAAUAUCUACUUAAUAAUGGGAGCUGCAGAAGAGCUAAGUUUGUGACCCUUCUCAAAGGACUGUUUUGGGAGCAUUUUCAUGGCAGGCAAGUUCCAUGUGCAUUCAUCACCUUAAUGUGUACCUGCCAGCUGACCUAUCCUGCAGAGGUCAUGUGGGUCAGGUCUUCAGGCAGCUUUUCUAAUCAAGGUCCCCUGGUAAGCACUCAUUUGAUCUGCCCCUGGCUGCUAUAUGAUCUCCUUUUUCCCUUUGUGUUGUGUUCCUUGUGCCUCCCUCUCUUUUUGAAGUGAAUGCUGGCCAAAAGAAAAAGGGAAAUGGAGUAAGGUGGGAGGGGGUUGCUCAAAUGCAUUUUCCUCCUUCAGAGAUAUGCAGUUCCUAAAUCCUCCAUUUUCUGCUCUUCUCAAGUUGAAAUGUUUCUAGCUGACUACCUUGUCCAGGUGUUAGUCCUCCUGUUACCUCUGAACCUUUUUAGAGUGCUGGGUCUCCUGCUGGUGGUCAAGGCAGUGUUAAAUAAUUGUAUGGCUGCCUACUGCUGAGCUCUGUUAGCUCGUCACUUAUAACCUGAGCAGAUGGUUGUGCUUCUCAGCCUUGAGAAACAGCCACUUUCUCUUCUCAGAGAAAAGUAGCCUAUGGCUAGAGACUGCUUAAGGUUGUUUUUGUUGUUUACUUUGUUUCUUUCUUGUUUUCCUACACCAGAAAAUAUCUGUGGGGCAUAAAUGUGAGUCAGCCAGAAAUAGCAUGAAAAACCAGUAGAGUAGUAGAUAAUUGUGAUAAUAGGAACCUUAAGUUAAAUACCAGCUUAAAGCUGAAAUUUAUUUCAUUUUCUUGUGUGUUUGCACAAAUGUUCAUUUGCUACUAUUGCUUGUCUAUUUACUUGACCACCUAUCAAGGUUCUUCCUGAUUGUCUUAGGUUUUAAGUGGUUUGAGAUGAAUGCUGUUAUUCUUUACAGGCAAGCAGGUUUAAAGCCAUAAGGUUUUUUAAUCACCAGCUGCUGAUCAUCAGAGACAAACCAUGACAAUAUGUCUUGUUUGCCAGGGUCUUUCAUAAAGGGAAGGGGGGGGAAAUGCUGAUGGAAUGAUGAUUUCUGUAUUUAUUUAUUUUUCAUUCACUGUAAAAGAUGUUGGUUCUGAAUAUUUUAAGCCUUUUUGACAAAAGGGUUAUUCAUGGUGGAUUGUUUCAGGCACACUUCUGUAAUCAUUUCAUACCUUUAACAGUAGAAAGGUAGAUCAGCUGCAUCCCUAGUGUUCUGAAAGUGGAAUGAGGGACAAGAAGAAAAUUACUUUCCAGGAGGGAAAAGGUGUAAAGGAGAUGACCUCCUCUUCCUCUCCUUCUGUUCUACCUUUUUUCCUUUCCCUGCUUAUUUUCUCUGUGGGUGUACAGCACCAGCAGCUGGCUGAGGACAGCUUUUCAAAAUAGCAGGGACUCCAAGUAGAAGAAAGGGCCAGAAAACUGGGAGAGCAAGUAUAUUUUCUUUUGAUCAGAAUAGAGCAGAUGUAAGUUAGCAGAAGGGCUUCUGUGGACUUCUACAGGUUAAUGCAAUAACUAAGAAUUUAAUGAUGUUAAGAAUUGAAGCAAUGGUGUUGCAAUCCCUCUCUAAGCAAGCAAAAUAAGCAAAGUUUUUAAAAUUAUUUUCAUUGUGUCAGGGCUAUGUGGUUUAAUGUGUCUAUUUUUCCAACAUAUUAAGUUGUUGAAAUGAAGGAUGCUUCCUUCCUCUUCUAGCCGUAUUUCUGUUAUGAUCUUGAACUUCCAAAGAAAUCAUGAAGCUUAUUGUGAUUCAUGAGAAGCUUAAAACCUAAUGUUUGUCUAACACAAAGUCAACAAACCAUUAGUU